rnacentral:sRNA from 1 species
GAGUUAGGAAGGCAACCUAAGUUCGCCGCGUCCUGCGGCGACGGUUGCAUAACCUACCUCCUGUAGG